rnacentral:lncRNA from 1 species
UUUUUUUUUUUUUUUUUUUAAAUGAGAUAGGGUCCCAUUGUUUUCCAGGCUGGAGUACAGUGGUGCAAUCUCAAGUCACUGCAACUUCUGCCUCCUGGGCUCACUCCAUCCUCCCACCUUAGCCUCCCAAGUAGCUGGGACUACAGGCAUGCACUACCACACGCAGCUGGUUUUUGUAUUUUUAGUAGAGAUGGGGUUUCACCAUUUCACCCAGGCUGAGAAUACACUUUUUAAACUUAGAGAUACAAAAUUAGAAUUGCCAGUCAUAGGUUUUCUUGGAAUACACAUGCUACAAUAAUGUAGGAGUACCUGAUAAGAAUUCAGUAAAUAUUUGUUGAAUGAAGGAGAGAAUGAUUGAAUAGCAGAGAUUCCUAGGUCUGUGGUAUUGGCACUUAAAUACUUUCAUAAUUUUAUCCAGAAACAAAUCCUUAGUUCAGUUAUUUCAGAAGAAAAAUCAUGAAUUGAGCUGUCCUGCAGAAGCUAGGAAAUAGCUUUAACUGGCUGUUGGUUGUGUAGUGACAGAUCCAGCAGAAUUGAGCCCGCCACUGAAGCAGCCAGGCAACAAUGCUGUUUCACAGUAUGCAGGAUCUGAAUAAAAGUGUCCUUUGUGCUUAUUUGAGACUGGGGGGCGGGACUUGUGGCAAUUUACGUUAUUUUUCCAUAAUGGAAAUUGAGGCAGCCUCUAAUCCUGCUAUCACACAUGGCAACUACUUAUUUGAUUUUUGGUAAUUUGGGAGCAGCUGUGGACAAACAAUUAUUCUGCAAAAAGAGCCAUGCCAGCUGCAUUCUGACCCAGUUGCAAAUGCUUGGGUAGACCAAACUUCCUAUUCACCAUCUUUCUAAACCAGGGAUAGCUUUAACAACUCACCUGCUUUUUAUUGAUAUGUGUAGCUUCUGGUAAGCGUCUACAUAUUUGAGAAUGCACUCUCUAAUGCUUUUUUAUUGUUGUCACCAACCUUCACUAGGCACCUACUUCAUUCAGGCAGUGUGCCAGACACAGGGUUGUAAGCUACAAGAUGUUAUACAGUGUGGAUAGACUGCUUUCAUUUUGACAGGUGGGUCAGCAUUAGCUUUAUUUUUAGUAGACUAAAUGGCAGUGUAAAGAAAGAAUCUGGUGUGGAGGCAGUUGGGAGCUGUGUUCCUUUGGUCCCCAGACUCCCCCUGAAUCUGCUGUCUGCGCGUUCAUUGAUGUCCCCUUGCUAUGCCAUGUGCUUUCACAAGCCGUUGCUGCUGCCUGCAGUGCCCUUUUUUUCAUUCUGGAGCCUGACGAGCUUCUGACUGUAGACUCUGUCAUUUCCUUCAGGAUGCCUGCCCCAUGUCCUUGCAGUUUUGUCUUCUCUGUGCUCCCUUAACCCUUAGCAAAUAUCACUAGAAUAGGAUUUGUUUUUUAAAUGGCGAAAGCCUACUUACUUAACUGUAUUAAUUCAGUCUUUCAGUAUACACUUAUUUAUUUUUUAAGCUCUUAUAACCCAGGGGCUUAGAGAGAUGUUUCAGUAAAGAAACAUAGGAAAUUAGGUAGGUAGGGUCAUCUAUAAUGAGUAAAAAGACAGCGUACUUUUGACUGUGAACGUCUGUAGGGCAAGGACAAAACGCUGACAAUCUUUAUUUCUGUCUCUAUAGUGCUGAAUUAUCACAAGGGACAAAUGGCCUGAAUAAUUGUAUGAACCCACUCUAUUAGAAAUUACCUUCACACUGAUAGAUAAUGGCCUGUGAUAAGAAGCAAGUCAAAACUUUUUAGAAUGUAGAACUGCACUGUUCAAUAUAGUAGCCACAAGCCACAUAUGGCCAUUUAAUAUUAAUUAAAAUUAAACAUUUAAUUCCUUAUGAUCUCAUGUGGUCAGUAGUCCACAUGUCCAGCUACAGUUUUGGACAGCACACAUUUAGAAUAUUUCCAUCAUUGCAGAAAGUUCUACCAGACAGUGCUAAUCCAGAACCUAUAAGAGAGUUGACAUAUUUUAAGCAUUUGAUGAAGUACAUUGACUUAACUCUUCUCUAUGGAAAGAUGUUCCGGCAAGCCAAAAUUCCCCAUGCUGUCUUUACAUUUUUUCCUUUGCUUGUGGCACCCUCUAGUGUUCUAGUAAUACAUAGUCUAUUUAUAAUUUGAAUAGAAGAAGAUUGGAAUAUUUUGGAGAAUUCUGUAUGUGUAGCAUUUUUCUAGGGAGGAGCUCUGUAGCUUUCACCCAUCCCCAAGAAAGUUUAUGAUUCAAAAACGAUUAAGAACUCUAUGAUAGAGGUAUUUGUAUGGUCAAAAUUCCUAAUGUGAUCUGUAAACAUUAUUUCACCCAGUGUAAAAAAAAAAAAAAAAA